GAAAAAGAAAAAGUAAAAGUCCUAACACAGAUACAAAAAACAAAAAGCCUAAAGUUAAUACAAGCCCUAAACAAGAGCUGCCGUCCACACUCAAGAUUACCACCGAGAAAGGCUUACGGGAAAAUCCAAGAGAUUAAGAGAGAGCUUCUUGAGGCCUCUCCAGUUUGAAGCUAACUUAAGUCUCAUCUCCCUUUACACUAGGUGAACCAAAUGAUCAAGGGGAAGAUGAAAGCAAUGAAGACCUUACCUAAAAGUAUUGGUUGAAGAAUCUUCAGACAAUCUAGGAAUGUUUUUAUUUUUGAACUAUUUUUCAAACUUAUAUAUUCCAACUCUUGGAUUAUUAAACACUUUUAUCGUAUAUUUUGCUUUUAUAAAUGGAUCAUCGUAGUUGUAUAUUUUGAAUUAUGAUUCUGUUGAUGAA